UACGUAGGGGGGCUAGCGUUGUCCGGAAUCAUUGGGCGUAAAGCGCGUGUAGGCUGUCCGGUAAGUCCGCUGUGAAAGUCGGGGGGCUCAACCCUCGGAUGCCGGUGGAUACUGUCGGGCUUGAGUACGGAAGAGGCGAGUGGAAUUCCUGGUGUAGCGGUGAAAUGCGCAGAUAUCAGGAGGAACACCAAUUGCGAAGGCAGCUCGCUGGGACGUUACUGACGCUGAGACGCGAAAGCGUGGGGAGCAAACAGG
rnacentral:rRNA from 1 species